AACCAGAGUUGUCCGGUGAAGGAAGCCAAACCCACAGAAAUUCAGAGCUCUCCACAAGGCAGCUAUGCUGAUAUUUGGGUUAGGGGUCUGGAUCAUUCCAAUGACGCUCAUCUUUGCACCAUGCAGGCGCCUGGUUCUCCUUGUUGUCAAGUUCCAGGAACUAGAAGCGAGCAUCAUGCGCAGUAGGUCAUCAUAUCCAGAAGUAUGGAGUCGCAUAGCGAGGAUACAAACAAUAAGCAUCACACUGUGAAGGAAGAUUGGAAGUAAUUCCCAGUUGAGAUAUGCAUUUGAACUUUCAUCAGGGAACUCUACUUGGCGGAAUAAUUUAAAGCAUACAAACAAGAACUCAGAUAUGCAAGUAGGGCUGGAAACGAGCCGAGCCGAGCUCGGCUCGGCUCGGUGUCUGAACGAGCUCGGCUCGCGAGCCAUAUUCUGGUACUUAUCGUUGCAUUAUUUGGUGUUGGGACUAUGCUUCGUCGCCGAAGGUCUUGUAGGAAGAAGCUGCUUUCGGCUGAAGCUGUUUGUAUGAGAUGGUCGAAGGUUCCUCUUCAUGAAUCUUCGGUAUUACAAACCGACUUAAAGAUAGAAUGACCUUUUUAGUCCAUAAAGGCCUGAGUCAAUGUUGUAAACUUUUAUAAAGGGCAUAAUUGUAAUUCCCCACAGGCUGUGUCCUGUGCCUAUAAAUAGUGAACAGUAUUCCUUUACUGUUCACGGAUUCCUGUAAUUGCAAUCGCAUCAUUUGGGAAUCAAUCUUUGUCAAGGCAGAGGUAUAAUUGUAUUCAAUGAUUUAAUAUAUCAAAAUAUGAUUCAUUUAUGAUUCA